UACGUAGGGUGCAAGCGUUGUCCGGAAUUAUUGGGCGUAAAGAGCUCGUAGGCGGCUUGUCGCGUCGGAUGUGAAAGCCCGGGGCUUAACUCCGGGUCUGCAUUCGAUACGGGCAGGCUAGAGUUCGGUAGGGGAGACUGGAAUUCCUGGUGUAGCGGUGAAAUGCGCAGAUAUCAGGAGGAACACCGGUGGCGAAGGCGGGUCUCUGGGCCGAUACUGACGCUGAGGAGCGAAAGCGUGGGGAGCGAACAGG
rnacentral:rRNA from 1 species